rnacentral:misc_RNA from 1 species
GAGAAGAAUGAGGAGGCCAGCUGUCGUUCAUAUGGUUCACCGUUCAUAUAAAUGAGAGUUAUCCCAAUUCGUCAUCUUAUAUAGUGAUGUGGUUUGACCAAUUCGUCCGAAUUUCUUAAAAUUAGAAACAUAGUUGGAGCUCUCAUCAUAUUUACAUUUUAACAAUACUGAAAAUACUUUUGUGAUUAACCUUAGUUUAACUACCUAUGCUUACACCUUUUACUCACCAAAAGUGAAAUAAAAAAAAAGAUGAAAAUAUAAGUCAAUAAUUCACUUAGUGAGUUUUAAAUUUCAAAAUAUCCCGCUCACACAUAUUUUGCGUGGAAGUUGGGGGGGGGGAUGAAAUGAUUGAAAUGCUAGAUAUUUCUUAUACAAAUAUACCUUUGUACUACAUGUACAUCAUGUAUAUAUAUAUUUUCUACAUUAUUCAUUGCCCAAUUUACUAAAAAAUAUGAAACGUAAAUCAAAUUAUUGAAUAAAAAUAACAGAAUG